AAUUUUAAUUAUUUUUCUUCUGUGUUUGAAUUAAAAAAUAUUUCAUCUAAAAGUCAUACUUUACAGGAUUAUUGGCAAAAGUAAGAGAACCAUAAAAACUAGAUGGAGAAUAGAGGGAUCGAUAUGUGAAGCAUAUCUCGCAAGAGAAACUUCUCAUUUUGAUUCAUACUAUUUUGAAAAUGAUGUUCCUUGUUUGAGAAAUAGACCCAAUCGACAUGACGAUAGAGGAAUUAUCGAUCCUUUGUUACCACCCUUUUCCAUAUUCAAUCAUCCAGGAAAAGGAGGUCCAAAACAUACUCCAAAGCGAAAGUUAACUGAGAUGGAGUUAAAGUCGGCUACAACACAUGUAUUAUUGAAUUGUCCCGAGGUCCAACCUUAUCAUAGCGAUAGGUUUAAGAGAUCAUCAAUAGGCGCACCAUUGAGGAUCUGUUCACACUCAGCUUAUUGGUGGUUCGCUUGGGGACUAGCAAUUGUCUUCGAGUGCUGGCCACAUCAAGGGUACCCUCCUGAGGCGUGACCCAAUUGGUGAAAGGCGUUCCCCUAAAGUGGGAUGUAAAGGAGCCAGAGGUUCCGGGUUCGAUUCCCACGAAGCCCUGCAAGGUGAAGGAAGGGAUGAACUGGCUGACCCUGGCAUAAACAAUACCUGAAUAUGUGGGCCUGAAGAGGGGGUCGUCACACCAAUACUAUUAAGUAUUUGAACAUCAAUUAUAUGUAUUUUUAAAAUUCUAAAAUUUCUCUAAUUCAAUAUAGGUUCAUAAUCCAGUUAAUGUCGCAGAUGUCGUGAAUGUCCAAUUUUUGCGUGAUAUUGCAUGGGGACCUGAUCGUAGAAUCAGAAUAAUGUCUACUUCAUCAAUGGAUACAAGUUUCAUACAGAAGAAUGGUCCAAAGGCAAGAAAACCAAUCAUAGUGGGGUGUGAGAGAAAGGUGAGGGGAUAUUGAUUAUUAUGGUGUGCUUCAAGAGAUUAUAGAACUCGAGUAUAUUGUUGGUUGGCCGAAGAAAAAGCUAGUACUCUUUCAGUGCAAAUGGUAUGAUCCUAAUUCUAGUGGAACAAAGGUGCAUCCUUUAUAUAAAAUAAUUGAAAUUAACCAUAUGAGACAGUAUUGUUUCUAUGAUCCAUUUAUCAUUGUACAAAAUAUGAAACAAGUGUAUUACGCUCCUUAUCCUUUAUGCAAGAAUAAAUCUUUGUGGCGUGUAGUUAUAAAAACAAAACCUGUGGGGAGAGUGGAAGUCGAGGAUGAAUUGGAGGUAGCGUAUCAAAAUGAUAUUUUAAGUGUUGAAGCAAUGGUGGAUGAUGAAUUAGCAGGUAAAUUACAGCAUAGUG